GGAAGAAUGGCAAAGGGAGCUAUGGGAAGGAGGAGCAAUGGUAAUUAAGUGGAAUACCUAGGACUGAACUCAAGAAGACUCAUGCAGACUGGGUACAGACAACCAACUGCAUUCCUGAAGAACAAUCUAUCCACCUGCAGCGACUCCCGAUGAAGCACGGAUUGGGAAAUCCAUGGCUUCCGGACAGGCAGUAUAGUCAUUCCACUCAGUAAA
rnacentral:lncRNA from 1 species